UAGCUCAGUCAGUAGAGCGUAGCGCUAACAACGCUAAGGCCGCGGGUUCGAUUCCCGU
rnacentral:tRNA from 1 species